GGACGACGCUGGCGGCGUGCCUAAUACAUGCAAGUCGAACGGUCUUUCUAUGGAAGCUUGCUUCCACUGAGAAGAUAGUGGCGAACGGGUGAGUAACACGUGGGUAACCUGCCCAUAAGAGGGGGGAUAACAUCCGGAAACGGGUGCUAAUACCGCAUAGUUUUCUUGAUCGCAUGAUCGGGAAAGGAAAGACGGCCUUUGUGCUGUCGCUUAUGGAUGGACCCGCGGCGUAUUAGUUAGUUGGUGAGGUAACGGCUCACCAAGACGAUGAUACGUAGCCGACCUGAGAGGGUGAUCGGCCACAUUGGGACUGAGACACGGCCCAAACUCCUACGGGAGGCAGCAGUAGGGAAUCUUCCGCAAUGGACGAAAGUCUGACGGAGCAACGCCGCGUGAGUGAAGAAAAGGGUUUUCGGAUCGUAAAACUCUGUUGUCAGAGAAGAACAAGUUGGAGAGUAACUGCUCCAGCCUUGACGGUAUCUGACCAGAAAGCCACGGCUAACUACGUGCCAGCCGCAGC
rnacentral:rRNA from 1 species